rnacentral:rRNA from 1 species
CCUACGGGGGGCUGCAGUGGGGAAUAUUGGACAAUGGGGGCAACCCUGAUCCAGCCAUGCCGCGUGUGUGAAGAAGGCCCUCGGGUUGUAAAGCACUUUCAGUGAGGAAGAACGCCUGGUGGUUAAUACCCAUCAGGAAAGACAUCACUCACAGAAGAAGCACCGGCUAACUCCGUGCCAGCAGCCGCGGUAAUACGGAGGGUGCGAGCGUUAAUCGGAAUUACUGGGCGUAAAGCGCGCGUAGGUGGCUUGAUAAGCCGGUUGUGAAAGCCCCGGGCUCAACCUGGGAACGACAUCCGGAACUGUCAAGCUAGAGUGCAGGAGAGGAAGGUAGAAUUCCCGGUGUAGCGGUGAAAUGCGUAGAGAUCGGGAGGAAUACCAGUGGCGAAGGCGGCCUUCUGGACUGACACUGACACUGAGGUGCGAAAGCGUGGGUAGCAAACAGGAUUAGAUACCCCAGUAGUC